ensembl:lncRNA
CUGAAACCUGUCACUAUGCAAGACAGAGAAAUCUUUAUGCAUCAGGGCCUUGCUCUGUCCCUCCCCCUCUCCUUCUCUGAGUAGGUUUUACAUGAACGUUCUGGAGUCAUCACAGAGAGAAUAGGACACACAAACCCACAGCAAAACCCACACAGGCAGAGCUGAGAACUCUUCAGGAAGCUGACUUGAACUAAACCACUCGCUUAUUUUUCAUCACAUUACGUCUGGCUCUGCUGCCCCAUCACCAGAUGAACUAAACUCAGUCUCCUACACCGGGCUUAUUUGGAAGUGCUGUUUCCAUUAGUACAUGGCAUAGGAGUGGGACUGUGACCAUCUGGAAGAGGACAUCUUUAACACAAAUUUGUCCUAAGGAAAAUAUUUUCAGAGUGGAAAGGUAGGAUAAAAAAGGCUAGCUGAUCCUUGCAGGACUGAUCUGCUUGCUUUUUGCU